GACGAACGCUGGCGGCGUGCCUAAUACAUGCAAGUUGAGCGCUGAAGGUUGGUACUUGUACCCACUGGAUGAGCAGCGAACGGGUGAGUAACGCGUGGGGAAUCUGCCUUUGAGCGGGGGACAACAUUUGGAAACGAAUGCUAAUACCGCAUAAAAACUUUAAACACAAGUUUUAAGUUUGAAAGAUGCAAUUGCAUCACUCAAAGAUGAUCCCGCGUUGUAUUAGCUAGUUGGUGAGGUAAAGGCUCACCAAGGCGAUGAUACAUAGCCGACCUGAGAGGGUGAUCGGCCACAUUGGGACUGAGACACGGCCCAAACUCCUACGGGAGGCAGCAGUAGGGAAUCUUCGGCAAUGGACGAAAGUCUGAACGAGCAACGCCGCGUGAGUGAAGAAGGGUUUCGGAUCGUAAAACUCUGUUGGUAGAGAAGAACGUUGGUGAGAGUGGAAAGCUCAUCAAGUGACGGUAACUACCCAGAAAGGGACGGCUAACUACGUG
rnacentral:rRNA from 1 species